rnacentral:lncRNA from 1 species
CCAGAUGCAGCUUCAACACGUACAAAUGGAGUAGCCAAAGCUGUUAGUCCUAUUGUAGAUCUCCUUGAUAUAAAUUCAGAUGAUGCUCCUGUACCAAGCUCUUCAGGUGGUGAUCUUCUUCAUGACCUUCUUGGUGUCGAUCUUUCACUGCCAUCACAACAGUCUGGUUAGUGUUUGCGGUGUAUCUUAUAAAUUAUCAUAAUGCUUCUAUAAAUGAAGUGUUCGUAUCUAAUGAUUGCCAUCAUUGUUUAUUAUUCCAUAAAAAAAGAUAAGCAGCUCCAUUUUUUAUCAAUACGGAUUUGACAGUUUUUUUAGAUAGAUUUUUUUUUGGAGGUGCAGAAGAAUACAGAAAGAUGAUAAGACACCUACAACCUAAGAUAUUAGUCACGAAACAGGGCAUGCGGAUCAGGUUGUAUAUAUCUAAGAAAGUAACAUCCCUAUAGAGACCAUGACCAGCAGAUAAAAGGAAAGAUAAAAUACCUGUUCCAAAUGUUGUCUAUAGAUGAAAAAGCUCCCUUGAAAACUUUGGCAGUCCUUUCCCAUUAGAGUCAUCAAAAGCCAAAAGAACUAAUGUUAUGUUAUAUUUCAUCAAUUGACAUUAAGCAAAGUUGUCCAACAAAAAUAUAAAUUGCACCCAAUGUUGGAGAUAUUUCUCUUUUUUUGUUUACUGUCAAAUAUAAACUUACUUUUCUGUAUUUUUCCUUCAUAACCGUUGUAUUUCUUUGAUCUAUUUAUAGGUUUUUGUAACAGAGUUACAACUCUUUUUAGCAUGUACAUAUUCAUUUUAGUAUCAAAUUUCUCAUUAAAUAUUGUAUCAAGAGCACAGUGAUCCAUGCCUUCAGAAAAUGUUCCACCUCCUUCCUCUUUGCCGCUUGUAGCUACUCAAGCGGUACUACUUUGCAAACCCAUAAUGCUGCUUGAUGGUGGUUCUGUAAUCUUUGUUCCGCUAGCAACUCCAGUAAUGUUUUCCCAUCAUAUUUUAGAGAAACUUGAUGACACAAAUUUCUAGCCACGACAUAAACAAGUCAAAUUGGUUAUUAGAACACAUAGAUUGUGUAGAAAAGUAAUGUGUUUUCCUUGAAUUGAAUUGGGUGCAAUAGAGGCUAUAAAGACACAGAUUAAGAGAAUGACCUCUCAGUGAUACAAAACAGGAAACUAAUAGAAAUUGAAUUCUAGAUUUCCUACUUGCUAUCAUGUACAUAAUUCUAUUCUAGGAGGUGUAUAAUUUAGUCAUUCCUGUCAUAAAACCAGAUGAUCAAAUAGUAAUGACAUUAAAUGCUAUCAUAAAAUAGAGCCAUAUUCUCGCAGACAAAGACAGAAUGUCAUCAGCGUUCAUAGAGAAACUGAACGAGGUUGCAAUUGGGUUUCCCAAGUUGAAUUUGAUCCACUCCUAGACAUACCAAAAGUGAUGAAUUUAAAAAAUGGAAUUUUCUGAAAUUAAAAACAGAAUUCAAUUGAAAAAAGAAACUCUAAAUAACUGCAGAUGUGCCAUUGCCCUAAUCUCCCAAUAUUUUCAAUUAAAAAGAAGAAACUCUGAAGAUAUGGUGCAUUGGUGCCUGCGUUCUCUCUUACAUAUAUGGCCAAGCAAACAGAACAGAGAUGUUACAUCACUAAUCUUACCAGAUGACCACAACACAACAUGACCACGGCGAACGACGACGACGCACUACCACGAUCGGAAUAGAGACGACCAUGACAGACAAAAUGCGACCACCAACGCCACCACGAUUGGAACAGAGGCAUACCACGAUCGGAACAGAGGCGCACUGACUUCACGAUCAGAACACGAACACAAACCCUAACACCAGCAACCUAGGUGUGUUUCUCUGAUUUUGGGUUUAGAAAUGGGGUCGUUUUGGGUUAAAAAAAUCCUCUGAACUCGCCAACUCGGUUGCAGAUUCGCGAGUUGAACUGAAUUCACCAAGUUCACAACAAGUUUAUCGAACUUGCUCCAAAAGUGAGUUGCUUUCGAUUCAACUCGUCAGAGUGAGUGACAAUAUAAACUAGGACGAGUUAAUGAGUUAACUUGCGAGUUUGAUAACCAUGAGUGCAUGCAUCCUUCAUUCAUUCAUGGUCUCAACCCAAUUUUCAUCUUUUAACGCUUCAUGUAUUGAUGUAUUGAUGUGAGGAUUCUGAAUAGAUUAAAUAGGAGAAAGAAAAAUCGAGUGUUGCAUGGAAAGGUGCUCAGUAGAGACAAAAUGGGAGAUGGCUUACUUUGCACAAGCCCACUUUUCUUUUUCUAAAGGCAGUGGGUAAAUCAUUAGUAUUAUCUAUACUUACCUUUGGUUCAAAUGAUUGGACUUGUUGGACCAAGUCGGGUUUUGUUUGCCUUUGUUAAACCAAUUUAAGAUGAAGGGCCAAUUCAUAAAUUUAAGAUGAAGGGUCAAUCCAUUAUCAC